UUUCAUUGAAUCAUAAAGAAUACAAAAUCGAAAGCAAUUUAAUAUGUGCCUGUUUGUUUUGGAGAAGUACAAGCAGCUUCUGUCUUCUGCUUUUGUUGACCCGUUUGUGUGAAUUAGUAGAAGCAUUUUUAAGAAGCUGAGAAUGGUAACUUCUCUAUCAGAGCUUCUACAUCUUUUCCAAACACUUUAUUAACUUAUUUACUUCUCACUUCUAAUCCACUUUUUUACUUAAAACAUGAAAUCAUUUUUUUUAAGUUUUCCCAAACGGGCCCUAUAUGAGUUUCAAAAUUUCUUUGUCGUUUGGUCUGCCAAUUGCAUUUGUUCUUCUCAUUAACUCGGAAGUGGCCGCUGAAACUACAAGCAAGUCUGCUGAGGGAGACAAUGGAGGAGCUGACCUUAAGAACAUUGCAUGCAUGUGUUUAAGAAGUGGCUUCUGUUGCCCUCCUCGUGAUAGAGUAUAUAUUUACAUAUAUUCUAAAUGAUUUUAUUCUCAUAUUUAAUUGUAUUUUGCAUUUAAUUAGAUAUUUAUUUAAUAGAUUACAAUGUUUUAUUGUCGGAAGCAAGGAGUUCCUAAAGUUUGAAGGAAUUGGAGUAAAGAGCUUAAUUUGAAGAUAAAUUAGAAGGAAAUUCGGAUUUGUUGGAUUGCUUGAACACGACUCACUGUUUGGGGCCGUAUCUUGAGUUCUAGAAGUCAGAAUUGGGUCAUAUUACAACCCACGCGAAGCUUAGAUAAUUUUCUUUAAUUCAGAGAUGAUCCAAUAUCUGAAAUCCAACCCCAGAAACAGGGGAGAAAAAUCUGUUACGAAUUUUCCAUGAAGAAACUAAUUCCGUUUGUGAAACUGAUUUAUAUUUCCUUAUAAGCAUUAAAAUCAUAUAUUUAUAGGGAUAGACAUUAGAUCGAAGGAGGAUUAUAUUGUAUAAUUAGGUUAGGUUAAAAAUACUUCUGUUUGCUUGUUCUUCAAGACUUCGGGCUUGGAGAUUCCAUUGUACAAUCCAACUUUAUUUUCUUUUAUUAA